UUUAGAGUUUAAGGUUUAGAGUUUAAGGUUUGGGGUUUAGGGUUUAGGGUUAAGAGUAUCAUGGUUAGGGUUUAGGGUUUAGGGGUUAGGAUAUAGGGUUUAGGAUUUAGGGUUUAGAGUUUAGGGU